rnacentral:rRNA from 1 species
UACGUAGGGUGCGAGCGUUGUCCGGAAUUAUUGGGCGUAAAGAGCUUGUAGGCGGUUUGUCGCGUCUGCUGUGAAAAUCCAGGGCUUAACCCUGGACGUGCAGUGGGUACGGGCAGACUAGAGUAUGGUAGGGGAGACUGGAAUUCCUGGUGUAGCGGUGGAAUGCGCAGAUAUCAGGAGGAACACCGAUGGCGAAGGCAGGUCUCUGGGCCAUUACUGACGCUGAGAAGCGAAAGCAUGGGGAGCGAACAGG